rnacentral:rRNA from 1 species
GACGAACGCUGGCGGCGUGCUUAACACAUGCAAGUCGAACGGUAAGGCCCCAGCUUGCUGGGGUACACGAGUGGCGAACGGGUGAGUAACACGUGGGUGACCUGCUCCUCACUUCGGGAUAAGCCUGGGAAACUGGGUCUAAUACGGGAUACGACCGCACCCUGUGGGUGUGGUUGAAAGUUUUUCGGGGUGGGAUGGUGCUGCGGCCUCUCCGCUUGUUGGUGGGGUAAUGGCCUACCAAGGCGGCGACGGGUAGCCGGCCUGAGAGGGGGGACAGCCAAGUUGGGACUGAGAUACGGCGCAGACUCCUACGGGAAGCAGCAGUGGGGGAUAUUGCACGAUGGGGAGAAGCCUGAUGCAGCGAUGCCGCGUGGGGGAUGACGGCCUUCGGAUUGUAAACUCCUUUCACCAUCGAAGAAGGUUUUCUGGCGGUAGAUGGAGAAGAAGCACCGGCUAACUACGUG